UACAGAGGUCCCGAGCGUUUGUUCGGAUUCAUUGGGCGUAAAGGGUGCGUAGGCGGCGGGGUAAGUUUGAUGUGAAAUUCCGGGGCUCAACCCUGGAACUGCAUUGAAUACUACCUUGCUAGAGUACCGGAGAGGAAACUGGAAUUUACGGUGUAGCAGUGAAAUGCGUAGAGAUCGUAAGGAAGACCAGUGGCGAAGGCGAGUUUCUGGACGGUAACUGACGCUGAGGCACGAAGGCCAGGGGAGCAAACGGG
rnacentral:rRNA from 1 species